AAUUUGUCAAGUGCUUCAGGCAAGAAGUUAGCAGUUAAAUCGUUGGCCUUCUAUUUUGUAACUGAAGCUUUUUUUUGCCAAGCUGGAGUACGGUAGAGGUAGAGGGAAUUUCCGGUGGAGCGGUGAAAUGCGUAGAGAUCGAAAAGAACACCAACGGCGAAAGCACUCUGCUGGGCCGACACUGACACUGAGAGACGAAAGCUAGGGGAGCGAAUGGGAUUAGAUACCCCAGUAGUCCUAGCCGUAAACGAUAUGAUCAAGGAAGCGGCACGAAAUUCACCUCUAGAAAGAUCAGA
rnacentral:ncRNA from 1 species